rnacentral:lncRNA from 1 species
GGAAAGGCCUGGCCGUCUCAUCAGAUAGCCCCAGAGAGCCUACCCAGUGGAAAGCUACUCUCUGGACAGAGCAGAGGAGGUGGGGCCCCGCUGAGAAGAGAAACUCUUUCACAACGUAAAGUUUUAAGAGGUAUUGAUGAGCCGGAAGGCAGGGUCUUACUCUGAAGCCAAGACGGUGACGCUCCUGCCUCAGCCUCCUGAGUGAUCAUACUACAGGUGUGCACCACCAGACCAAACUCCAAGUUCGAUUGAUCUCAUCCUUGUUCUGUGUCGGACUGUAUCUAGGCUUCGAGAGCUGCCUGCUCCUCUUCUUGAUCCUGAGUCCAUCUUGAACCAAUACAAGACUGAUGUGCUGAUGUAGUAGCAGUUCCAAGGGGCAAUGGUGACAGCCGUCCUCUAAAGAAGCC